rnacentral:rRNA from 1 species
CAGCCGCCGCGGUAAUACGUAGGGUGCAAGCGUUAAUCGGAAUUACUGGGCGUAAAGCGUGCGCAGGCGGUUCGUUAAGACAGAUGUGAAAUCCCCGGGCUUAACCUGGGAACUGCAUUUGUGACUGGCGGGCUAGAGUAUGGCAGAGGGGGGUAGAAUUCCACGUGUAGCAGUGAAAUGCGUAGAGAUGUGGAGGAAUACCGAUGGCGAAGGCAGCCCCCUGGGCCAAUACUGACGCUCAUGCACGAAAGCGUGGGGAGCAAACAGGAUUAGAUACCCGGGUAGUCCCUGUCUCUUAUAC